UAACACCGGCAGCCCAAGUGGUAGCCACGAUUAUUGGGUCUAAAGCGUCCGUAGCCGGCCAGGUAAGUUCUUUGGGAAAUUUAACCGCUUAACGGUUAAGCUUUCAGGGAAUGCUGCUUGGCUUGGGACCGGGAGAGGUCAGAGGUACUUCAAGGGUAGGGGUGAAAUCCGUUAAUCCUUGAGGGACCACCAGUAGCGAAGGCGUCUGACCAGACCGGGUCCGACGGUGAGGGACGAAGGCUAGGGCCGCGAACCGGAUUAGAUACCCGGGUAGUCCUAGCUGUGAACGAUGCGGGCCAGGUGUUGGCAUUACUGCGAGUGAUGUCAGUGCCGAAGGGAAGCCGUUAAGCCCGCCAUCUGGGGAGUACGGUCGCAAGGCUG
rnacentral:rRNA from 1 species